rnacentral:rRNA from 1 species
GACGAACGCUGGCGACGCGCUUAACACAUGCAAGUCGAACGGAAAGGCCUGCUUUCCCUUGUGGAUUGCGGGUACUCGAGUGGCGAACGGGUGAGUAACACGUGAGUGAUCUGCCCCCAACUUGGGUAUAAGCCUGGGAAACUGGGUCUAAUUCCCGAUAGGACUGCAGGGUGGUGCCUGUGGUGGAAAACGAUUUUCUAGUGGUUGGGGAUGAGCUCGCGGCCUAUCAGCUUGUUGGUGGGGUAAUGGCCUACCAAGGCGGCGACGGGUAGCCGGCCUGGGAGGGUGGACGGGCACAGUGGGACGGAGAUACGGCCCAGACUCCUACGGGAGGCAGCAGUGGGGAAUAUGGCACAAUGGGCGGAAGCCUGAUGCAGCGACGCCGCGUGGGGGAUGACGGCCGUCGGGUUGUAAACUCCUUUCGACCGCGAGGAAGCCACCUGGUUGGAAGGGUGGUGACGGUAGUGGUAGAAGAAGCACCGGCUAACUACGUG